AUGACAAAGAAACAGAAAGAUGGAGGAAAUAGAAUGAGAAAGAGAGAGACACAGACAGAGAGAGGGGCUAGGGAGAGAGGGAAGGAGGGAGGGAAAGUGACAGAGACAGAGACAAAAAAGAGACAGAGACACAGACAGAGAGGAAGGGAGAGAGAUGGGCUAGAGAAAGAGGGACAGGUUAGGGAGAGAGGGAAGGAGGGAGGGAAAGCAACAGAGACAGAGACAGAAAGAGAGAGAGAACAUGUAAAUAUUGAUUUUGUUAAUGUGUUUGAGUGGAAAUUUCCUAGAUUGUUGGCUGUAAUUUCUAAUAUUAAAGAAUUUGCUGAAGAACUGAGGGGCUAAAUGACUUCCUCGUGGUCACACAAUUGUACUUCUUUUUCCUGUUAUGAAUACUAGGGCUUCAUUCACUACAUUAUACCACGUCUUGGCAAGGACUAGCUCUUAUACUAUUAGGUAAAUGGGUGAUAUUAGAGAGCUUAGCAUAAACUAACUGAUGAUACUGUAUAUAACCUUCAGAGGAUGACUCAGAUGUCAGCGGCUACGAGGGAAGAUUAGACUGCUACUGUGUUCCUUAAAAUACAUUGUAUGAGUAAAAUAUAUCUUUUCCUCUUCUAUUAUAUUUACUGAAAUCACCUCUCUUGUCCCCUGUAAGAUGGUUCUGCCAACUCAGCAAGAUUCUGAUGGGCAGCAUCGAGUCUGACGGUGGUGAUGAUAUUUUCCAAACCAAAAAUUGGGACACAUGUUUUGACAAGGGAUUCUUCACUGCCCUGAUUGUCUUGUUAUUGCAGUAUAUCCAUGUUGAAGUUGGGACUGUUCCAGAACAUCCAGGCUGUGUGGUCACUGUGAAUACAGUAAAAAUGCAUCCAGCGACUUUUAGAUUUCAGACUAGUGUCAGUCAAAGUAUAAACCAAUCAUGUGUUGUUUCUUCUCUAGAUUUUAUAAGGAUAUAUAUUUGAUCAAUAAUAAACCUAACUAAAGGAGUCGGUAUGUUUUAUAU
rnacentral:lncRNA from 1 species